ensembl:miRNA Mir7072 microRNA 7072
AAUGGGAGGGGAGACAAGAGGCAAGGGACCCUUCUGAGCCUAGCUUCUCUUCUUCCCCAG